rnacentral:rRNA from 1 species
GGGACUUCGGUUCCCAAGUAAGGCGGCGGACGGGUGAGUAACACGUGGGUAAUCUGCCCUCGGGUGGGGAAUAACUCAGGGAAACCUGGGCUAAUUCCGCAUGACAUUGUCGGUACUUAAGGUAUAGAUAAUCAAAGCUGGGGACCCUUCGGGGCCUGGCGCCUGGGGAGGAGCCCGCGGCCAAUUAGCUUGAUGGUGAGGUAAUGGCUCACCAUGGCGACGAUUGGUAGCCGGCCUGAGAGGGCGGACGGUCACACUGGGACUGAGACACGGCCCAGACUCCUACGGGAGGCAGCAGUGGGGAAUUUUUGUCAAUGGGGGAAACCCUGAACAAGCAACGCCGCGUGAAGGACGAAGACCUUCGGGUUGUAAACUUCUGUCGGAGGGGACGAAGGCAUUUGCGGUUAAUACCCGUGAGUGUUGACGGUACCCUUAGAGGAAGCCCCGGCUAACUCCGUGCCAGCAGCCGCGGUAAUACGGGGGGGGCAAGCGUUGUUCGGAAUUACUGGGCGUAAAGGGCGCGUAGGCGGGCGGGAAAGUCUUUCGUGAAAUCCCACGGCUCAACCGUGGAAUUGCGGGAGAUACUACUCGUCUUGAGUUCGGGAGAGGAGUGUGGAAUUCCCAGUGUAGCGGUGAAAUGCGUAGAUAUUGGGAGGAACACCGGUGGCGAAGGCGGCACUCUGGACCGAUACUGACGCUG